UGUGUAUUUCUGGUCCAGUUAUAUCAUUAUCUUCCAUAGAACAGAGGUGGUUUGUAGUAUUUAAGAUUUAGAGUUCUCUUGUACCUAGUUCACCUAUAUCUAUAGUCUACUGUUUACAUUAUAUUUUCUGUACCUCGCCAUGAAAUGCAUUUUAAGACACAUAAGAACUUUUUCUUUUUAAUAUAAAUAGACUAUUUUUAAUUAUUGAUUAUAUACGCAUAUUCAAUGACUCCCAUCCUAUGAAAAAUAGUUCACAAAGAUUGACUAGUCUCUGUACUGUGUGUAUUACAAGAACAUCAAGUAACAUAAUAGUAAAUGUACCUAGUAACAUGUCAACUCUUUUGAUGACCAUACUUUUUCUACAUACCCGCCAAAUGUCACUAUUUGCGGGGGAUUUCCCCCAUGGAGGCUCCAAAGUGGAAAUUUUGUAAGAGCAAUUUUGUCCACUAUUUUAAAGAAAACAAUUUAUUUAACAAUGGCUAUGAGCUUGUUAAAGCACAAAGAAACCAAAAAACAACAUUAGAAUAUAUUUGAAGGCCCCCUUGAAGGUUUUGUAGGACUAUAAGAACCAUCUUUCACGUAAAACCCCCAUGGGCAUUUUGAAAAGUUGGCAGGUAUGUUUCUAACUCCAAGCAAAACUAUUUUUCAGUAUAAACAUGAUAAAGUAAUCUACCGGUAUGAAUGAAAAAGGAGUUUAUAAUUAAGGAAACAAUGACAUCUGGUGGCCAUAAAAG
rnacentral:lncRNA from 1 species